rnacentral:lncRNA from 1 species
AGAACGGCACCUUGCUCGGCGGCUGACACUCAGACUAUCACAAACGGUGCUAUCGUGGAGGGCAAGAAGCAGGGAUCGCGACACAUGCCAGCGAAGGCGGGACGCUGGACCAAAGGAAUCAGGGGCUGGCUGAUGCUGGUGCUGAUAAUACUAGGCAACUGCGACAUUCUCGCCAAGCAGGGCAGGGAGCGGCAGGCAGGGCAGGGAGCGGCAAACAAUGGACUCGACCUGGGAGCCUGCCCGGACGCAGCCUCACAGACAACUCCGGAUGAUCAAAUACACCAAGAACGCAGCAGUGAAUUUGAGAAACAAGGGCUCCAACACAAGAAAAAUUCCCACACCUCGCCCAAGUUGGACAAGAAGUUUCAACCCCAAAUUAGCCAUUCAUGCUCUCAAUACUUAACACAACGUGCUAAUAAUACCACUGAGGAAAGGGGGACCCACAACAAAGAUCCAGAAAACACCUCCACUCUGCACCGACAGGACGUAAAAACAAGCACACAUACCCUUGGAACAAUACAGUCGUAUAGCUUUAACUGCCAUCGGCAGUCAGAGGCUGCCUAGACUCCAACGGCUCGCCAUUGCCCGCCACGUCGAGAGUACACUGCAAGUGGCCCACGAGGGCCUUCACAGUGUGACACGACUAGCCGGCACCACUAGCGGACCGCCAUGCGAUCCAUGGGGCGUGCCCCUAAGGGAGUCAAGUCACAUGGGACGCAACGUACCGUGUUAUAAUGCCGAGCAUGAGAGGAGGUGAGGGCAGGUAGUGGCCCUUAGUGGCGUAGAGCUGAGGUGGAAGCGUGUGGAAGGAGGCUGGUGUAGGAAUGGCGUCUGAAGUCUGAGUAUGAUUUGAGUGCCAGAGUCAUGGCAAACAUGGGACCAAAGGUAUUGCGGAUGUUGGCGUGCGCACAACCUCCCCGACCGGUGACCGAGUUAGCGGGGUUGGGGGUCGCCUCAUCGGGGAAAGGGAGUCUGGAGAAAUGGGAUCGAAUGGACGCAAAAUCGCUCGUUUGCGCCCGCACAGCUUCUAAAUACUUGCGUAUUCAUGUAUGUUAAUAGCUGGGCCAACGCCCUGUCAAAUUGUGAGGGCGCGCGCGGACUUCCCCCCGCGUGCCCGCAGCUCGGUCCCGCACCCUCGCCAUCUGCCAAGCCCCCCCCCCAGCACCAAAACCCG